UCAGAUCUUUUCAACUCUUAACUUUUAAUUUUAUGCUUAGGAUUAGCCUCUUCAUAUCCUCCCACUUCUUAAAUUUCAAAAUCUCUCCCCCUUUUCAAAAACUCUAUUUGUUUGUGAUUUCAAAACUUAGACUUUAUUGCAAAUUAGAAACUUUGGCCUUAUGCCAUUGUAAUUUUAAACUCUUUUCUUAAAACAAACUUGUAAAUGAACUUAACUAUAUUGACUUAAAAUUUCAAAAAAGACAAAAAAAAACUAACACUCAUUCAAACUCUUGGGCCCUGUAGUGCCUCUUUUAAACUUAAAUUUAAAUUAAAAGCAAUUCACCCAUUUUGAAAUUGAUACCACGAACAACGAGGUUUUGAUCCCUCAUUUUUAUGUUGGUACGUAGGCAUAAGUCCGAAGGUCUUGUCAAACACAAAAAUAUAAUCAAU
rnacentral:lncRNA from 1 species